rnacentral:rRNA from 1 species
AGUGAACGCUGGCGGUAGGCCUAACACAUGCAAGUCGAACGGCAGCACAUUAAGAGCUUGCUCUUACGGUUGGCGAGUGGCGGACGGGUGAGGAAUACAUCGUAAUCUACUUUUUCGUGGGGGAUAACUUAGGGCAACUUCCGCUAAUACCUCAUACCACUUACGGCUGAAAUCAGGUUUUCUUCGUACCUUUCGCUAUUUAAUGAGUCGUUCUCGGAUUGGCUAGUUGGCGGGGGAAAGGCCCACCAAGGCAACGAUCCGUAGCUGGUCUGACAGGAUGAUCAGCAAAACGGGAACUGAGAAACGGUCAAAACUCCAACGGGAGGAAGAAGUGGGGAAUAUUGGAAAAUGGGCGAAAGCCGGAUCCAGACAUACCGCGUGGGUGAAGAAGGCCUUCGGGUUGUAAAGCCCGUUUGUAGGGAAAGAAAAGCAGCAGGUUAAUAACCCGAUGAACUGACGGUACCCAAAGAAUAAGCAACGGCUAACUUCGUG